rnacentral:rRNA from 1 species
GGUUACAGCCAGACCACCCUGAAAGUGCUCAAUCUCAUCUGAUUUCAGAAGCUAUGCAGGGUCAAACCUGGUUAGUAUUUGGAUGAGAAGAAAUAAGCGAAGGGUUAAAAAUA